rnacentral:rRNA from 1 species
AUUGAACGCUGGCGGCAGGCCUAACACAUGCAAGUCGAGCGGAUGAAGGGAGCUUGCUCCCUGAUUCAGCGGCGGACGGGUGAGUAAUGCCUAGGAAUCUGCCUGAUAGUGGGGGACAACGUUUCGAAAGGAACGCUAAUACCGCAUACGUCCUACGGGAGAAAGCAGGGGACCUUCGGGCCUUGCGCUAUCAGAUGAGCCUAGGUCGGAUUAGCUAGUUGGUGAGGUAAUGGCUCACCAAGGCGACGAUCCGUAACUGGUCUGAGAGGAUGAUCAGUCACACUGGAACGGAGACACGGUCCAGACUCCUACGGGAGGCAGCAGUGGGGAAUAUUGGACAAUGGGCGAAAGCCUGAUCCAGCCAUGCCGCGUGUGUGAAGAAGGUCUUCGGAUUGUAAAGCACUUUAAGUUGGGAGGAGGGGUUGCUGAUUAAUACUCUGCAAUUUUGACGUUACCGACAGAAUAAGCACCGGCUAACUCUGUGCCAGCAGCCGCCGUAA